rnacentral:rRNA from 3 species
UACGGAGGGUGCAAGCGUUAUCCGGAUUCACUGGGUUUAAAGGGAGCGUAGGUGGGUUGGUAAGUCAGUGGUGAAAUCCCCGAGCUUAACUUGGGAACUGCCAUUGAUACUAUCAAUCUUGAAUACUGUGGAGGUAAGCGGAAUAUAUCAUGUAGCGGUGAAAUGCUUAGAUAUGAUAUAGAACACCAAUAGCGAAGGCAGCUUACUACGCAGUUAUUGACACUGAGGCUCGAAAGCGUGGGGAUCAAACAGG